CCGCACAAGCGGUGGAGCAGUGUGGUUAAUUCGAAGCAACGCGAAGAACCUUACCAGGUCUUGACAUCCCUGACAACCAAGAGAUUGGGCGUUCCCCUCGGGGGACAGGGUGACAGGUGGUGCAUGGUUGUCGUCAGCUCGUGUCGUGAGAUGUUGGGUUAAGUCCCGCAACGAGCGCAACCCUCGCCUCUAGUCGCCAGCAUUCGGUUGGGCACUCUAGAGGGACUGCCGGCGACAAGUCGGAGGAAGUGGGAUGACGUCAAAUCAUCAUGCCCCUUAUGACCUGGGCUACACACGUGCUACAAUGGGCGGUACAAAGGGCUGCGAACCCGCGAGGGGGAGCGAAUCCCAAAAAGCCGCUCUCAGUUCGGAUUGCAGGCUGCAACUCGCCUGCAUGAAGCCGGAAUCGCUAGUAAUCGCGGAUCAGCAUGCCGCGGUGAAUACGUUCCCGGGCCUU
rnacentral:rRNA from 1 species